GACGAACGCUGGCGGCGUGCUUAACACAUGCAAGUCGAACGGAAAGGCCCUGCUUUUGUGGGGUGCUCGAGUGGCGAACGGGUGAGUAACACGUGAGUAACCUGCCCUUGACUUUGGGAUAACUUCAGGAAACUGGGGCUAAUACCGGAUAGGAGCUCCUGCUUCAUGGUGGGGGUUGGAAAGUUUCGGCGGUUGGGGAGGGACUCGCGGCUUAUCAGCUUGUUGGUGGGGUAGUGGCUUACCAAGGCUUUGACGGGUAGCCGGCCUGAGAGGGUGACCGGCCACAUUGGGACUGAGAUACGGCCCAGACUCCUACGGGAGGCAGCAGUGGGGAAUAUUGCACAAUGGGCGGAAGCCUGAUGCAGCAACGCCGCGUGCGGGAUGACGGCAUUCGGGUUGUAAACCGCUGUCGCCUGUGACGAAGCGUUAGUGACGGUAAUGGGUAAAGAAGCACCGGCUAACUACGUG
rnacentral:rRNA from 1 species